GGAUGUGAGGGCGAUCUGGCUGUGUCAUCUGUCAUCCCAUUGAUCGCCAGGGUUGAUUAGGAUGAUCUGGCUGGCUAGGCAGGUGUCCUCUUCCUCCCUCAUGGCUGUGCGCUAGGUCGCAAUAGGAGGAAGAAAUUACGAGCUUGGUGGAAGAGGAUGGCCUUCCCCGAAUAGAGACUGAUAGGUGGAGGGUUUAGGAGUAGCUGUGCUCCCCUGCUAGAACCUCUAAACAAGCUCUCAAGAAAUAAAGUAGGGAGAAAGGUGAUUUGGUAGUGUUCAUACAUGUAUUUCCAAAUAGGUAAUCAC
ensembl:misc_RNA 7SK 7SK RNA